rnacentral:rRNA from 1 species
UACGGAGGGGGCAAGCGUUGUUCGGAAUUACUGGGCGUAAAGGGCGCGUAGGCGGCCCGCUAAGUCGAACGUGAAAUCCCCAGGCUUAACCUGGGAACUGCGUCCGAUACUGGCAGGCUUGAAUCCGGGAGAGGGAUGUGGAAUUCCAGGUGUAGCGGUGAAAUGCGUAGAUAUCUGGAGGAACACCGGUGGCGAAGGCGGCAUCCUGGACCGGCAUUGACGCUGAGGCGCGAAAGCUAGGGGAGCAAACGGG